rnacentral:tRNA from 1 species
GGUUGUAGCUCAGGGGCAGAAUGCUUGCCUAGCAUGUGUGAGGCACUGGGUUCAAUUCUCAGCAUCA